rnacentral:misc_RNA from 1 species
UUGAUUAACAAAUUGUGAUUUGAAAUACAUCAAAUUUGGGAUUUAGCCUGUAUCUAAUAUAGGCCUUAGGCAGUGAAUUGGCAAAAUAAAUGUGUUUAAGCCAUUCCAUUGAGCAAAAUAUAUCAUGGAAUUUUUGAAAAUAAAGGGGAAUGAAAAGAAGAAAUUAGAGGCAAGCAAUGGGUUUUUGUGGAUCAAUCUUUGUGAUUAGUAUGUGUUAAGGAAGUUGCUGCAUUCUG